ensembl:lncRNA
GCUUUCAGCAACUGGUCACCGAACGGAGAGCUCUUACGCACUGCAGGAUGCUAUUCCUUCAGAAAGCUGCACAGAUCGCAUGUCAAACAGCUCAAUGAAAUUUCGCAAAGGUAGCAUGUUCAUGUAUCUGUCACCCAAGAUCUGACAGAAGGCACCUCAGAAGUCACCUUGCCCUCAUCUGGUCCCUCCCUCCCCCCACCCAACUCUGCGAAGAGACCUGGGAGUGGUAGAUAUUUCUAGAACAAUUUCAGCUCACUGUGCCAUCUUGGCUGGAAAGGUAACCAGAAUACUGUGCCUUAAUAAAAAACAGAUUAGAAGCAGAAUUGCACCUUAUCUUAUUGAAAAAAUUAAACCUGGUGCAGCUAUAUUUGGAACAUAGCGUUUAAUUCUGGGGACUUUCAUUCAAGAAAGGCAAAAAUGGAGCUCAAGGUGGAGUAGAGAUGAAGAAUGAAGGAAUGAGAAGGAGCUGUGCUGAGACAGACUCCAAGUGUUAGGAUUCUUUAACCCAAAAGUGAAGAUAGAGGCAGUGGCCAAAGUUCACCAAUAAUUGAUGCUUAUUUAGUGCUCACCCUGUGCCUGGCAUAAGUCUAAGCACUUGACAUGUGUUGAAUCAUUCAGUACUUAUUAACCCUGUAAGAGAGGUCCCACUAUUAUCCUCAUUAUAAAAGCAUCACAAAGGGUAUGUACAGAAUAAAUACUGAUCACAGCUAUUUACUGGCUAGAGCUCAGCACCGAUCUUAAAAUGCAAAAGAGUAAAAUCCAAGACAAACAAAAGGAAGUGAGACUUUACACAGUGAGCAGUAAAACCUAGAGAACGCACCACCUAAAGCAACAGUACAAAUCAAGCUGAAAAGAGAUUCCAAGAAGGAUUUAGGCUCUAUUUGUAGAAGAUAAAACCAAGAUAACUUACGAAGAGAAUCUUAUGAAAUGUCUGUACCCUCUAAGGUUGUCAUUAAUGAGGCGAACCACACCCUCUCUACUGCGACUGCCAACAUGUCUCCGAGUCUCCCUGUACUAAUUCUGGGCUGGAUGGGCCAGCAAUUUGGCCAAAUGUGGCUUUUCCUUUUAAUUAUGCUCUAAGAAGGGAAAUGGUACAUGAAUUCCUUGUGGGUAUUCCAGUAUGGUUAUAAUUGAUAUUAUACUCGAAUGUUUUCAUUGAUAGCCUACACUACACAGAAUCCUAUUUUAAGCAAAGCUUCGCCCUAUAGAAAUUGAAUUUUAAAACAAUUACUGCAGAAGAAUGGAUUGCCACACAGAAAGCAAGCAGAGGGUUUUUGCUUUAACAUCCAUCCUCUAGUCAGUAUUUAUUUGGGGUUCUUUCAAUCCCCAUAUUUCUUUCAGAAAUUAUAUUUCAGAAGAAUACAUUUCAUACAAGGAAAAACCAAGAAAAUAGCCUAAAAUCAUAUCCCUGUGCAAACAACUCUCCCGUGGAAACUUACAUAGUACUUUCCUUGUCACACCAAUCCUCAUGAAACCCAAGCACAGACCCAUCCAGUGUUGCUCAGGGCUUCUUCGGUCUUGUUGGUAUAACGCCGCUAGAUUUCACACACUGUACCAGCAUCCUCCCUUGGCUUGGUGACCUCUACGUUAUUGAAACACUGUAUGUGCUCUGGGUACACCCAGGAAAAGACACAGAGAAGAAAGUCUAGGAAUGAAGGUCUAGUUCACAGAGAACUAACCUUAUCUAUGGGAAGGAAG